rnacentral:rRNA from 1 species
GGUGAACGCUGGCGGCGUGCCUAAUACAUGCAAGUCGAGCGAACGGACGAGAAGCUUGCUUCUCUGAUGUUAGCGGCGGACGGGUGAGUAACACGUGGAUAACCCACCUAUAAGACUGGGAUAACUUCGGGAAACCGGAGCUAAUACCGGAUGAUAUUUUGAACCGCAUGGUUCAAAAGUGAAAGACGGUCUUGCUGUCACUUAUAGAUGGAUCCGAGCUGCAUUAGCUAGUUGGUAAGGUAACGGCUUACCAAGGCAACGAUGCAUAGCCGACCUGAGAGAGUGAUCGGCCACACUGGAACUGGGACACGGUCCAGACUCCUACGGGAGGCAGCAGUAGGGAAUCUUCCGCAGUGGGCGAAAGCCUGACGGAGCAACGCCGCGUGAGUGAUGAAGGUCUUCGGAUCGUAAAACUCUGUUAUUAGGGAAGAACAUAUGUGUAAGUAACUGUACACAUCUUGACGGUACCUAAUCAGAAAGCCACGGCUAACUACGUG